GUGAAUCAUCGAAUCUUUGAACGCAAAUUGCACUCUCUUCGGAUAGUAUGCCUGUUUGAGGUUCAGCCUAAAAAAAAUCGACAUAGUCGCUGUUUCGCGGUUACAUUCGGCGGAACUUGGGUCUUCUUAAACCUUUUGGGUUUAAGCGGCUUAAAAUUUUCUUUAUGAUUGCACGGACGUUUCUAAGAUUUACUUACACGGUUAAGUUA
rnacentral:misc_RNA from 1 species